rnacentral:rRNA from 1 species
AUUGAACGCUGGCGGCAGGCCUAACACAUGCAAGUCGAGCGGAUGAAGGGAGCUUGCUCCUGGAUUCAGCGGCGGACGGGCGAGUAAUGCCUAGGAAUCUGCCUGGUAGUGGGGGAUAACGUCCGGAAACGGGCGCUAAUACCGCAUACGUCCUGAGGGAGAAAGUGGGGGAUCUUCGGACAUCACGCUAUCAGAUGAGCCUAGGUCGGAUUAGCUAGUUGGUGGGGUAAAGGCCUACCAAGGCGACGAUCCGUAACUGGUCUGAGAGGAUGAUCAGUCACACUGGAACUGAGACACGGUCCAGACUCCUACGGGAGGCAGCAGUGGGGAAUAUUGGACAAUGGGCGAAAGCCUGAUCCAGCCAUGCCGCGUGUGUGAAGAAGGUCUUCGGAUUGUAAAGCACUUUAAGUUGGGAGGAAGGGCAGUAAGUUAAUACCUUGCUGUUUUGACGUUACCAACAGAAUAAGCACCGGCUAACUUCGUG